AUUAUACUAAAUUCUACAGCUUUUAGUAGCUGUAGUUGCCAAAGUCUACUUAUUCUGAAAAGUAGUAACAUCACCAGGAAAACGUCUAAUAAAAAAUUGCUAAACUAUUUGCAUUGAAAUCAGUCUCCAUAUAGGGGAGUAUUCAUAAAUUACCACUUAUCAGAAAAACAGAAAGUAUAAGUGAUUGAUUGCUGACUCACUUUUAAACCAAGCUAGGCUACAUGAUAACCCAAUAGUAUUCUUGAACUAUUUAUUAAUGCAAGAAAGCUUUCAGCUUAUAGGCAUGCAUGCACACACACAUUGUGGUGUGUUGAAAAGUGAAUUGUGUUUGGCCUUAGGAGUUAAUCUAGCCCAGUUUAUAAACAAUCCUCUUUAGCUACUUAAAAAUGUCUUUCACUCCCUUCUUCCUCCUGUAUUAGCGUAGGAAAAGUUGCCUCUCUUGAGCCCCCAGUCUUCACCAUGUAGGUGUCACUAUUAGUGUCAUCUCUACAGCUUCCAUACACAUGUUCUAUUUGAUCAAAGGCAGCACUAGCCACAGAAAAGAACUCUUGAAUGUUAGGUGCUGGCGAAAGGCAUCUAUUACUGGAUCCUUAGGACUCUGUCUUUCUACUUUCAGAGCCAUCAUAUGUCAGAGUUGGUGAAAACUGAGAACCAAAGUGAAGCAAUUUGUCUUCUGAGUUUUUCAUGCGGUCAGGAGAAAGGCUGGGACCACAUGGCCUGACUCUCAGGCCAGAAUUUUAUGCACAACUUGAUCCUGUGGUGUCAGUUCUGCACGCAGGAAGCUCAGGACAGCAUCUUGGAAGGUAUCUAAGCAGCUCUAGCUAGUGGGGAUCCAGACACAGGCUCAAAGGAGUUCAGGAAAGGCAACAGGCCAUCUGAGCCCUAGAGGAUUUGUUCGGGAGCAAACCUGGCCAGGGCUUUGGGACCUGGAAGAACUGGAGGCACACUGGGUUCUCCAUGGUGGACAUCAAAAUUCUCCUUAUGGCCAUGUGGAUGCCUCUGAAUGUUGGGGAAAGAAUCAGGACAUAAAACAAAGAAAGAAGAAAGAAAAAAGAUGGAUAUGUCAAGAUCUUAUUUCACGACAUCAGAGAUUUCAUAAGUUUCCUCCCCCCAUGUACUUUGGAGUUAGAAAGGAGGUAGUGGUGGUAGAGGAUAGUUUUAUGGGUUUAGCCAGAUGUGAGGGACAUCUGGUGACUAGAUGUUUGUUUUUUAAGCAUGCCUGACUGUUAUGCUGAUGAGAUGGGAAUUGGGAGUUGAAAGGUGGUUGCUCUGGCCGCUCUAGGAGACAGCAUUGGUUCUGAGAACAAGGAUUAGGGGUAGAGUGAGGAGAGGUGGUUUCGCCUGGCAGCAGGCACUCUUUCCUUUCUGUGCCUCCAUUUCUUUAUUUGAAGAUGAGACUCCACCUAUUCCUGAUGUAAUAAUCAUAAUGAUUUUGCUGUAAGUUAUAAGGUGCUUAUUAGAUAACAGGCACUGCAGGCUCUGGGCACGUGUUUCCUUAUUUACAUUCAGCCAUCAUGUGCGAGAACCUGUGAUGUUCUGAAGAGAUAUCCCCUAACUCUUCUAAAAUGAAUGCCAUUUUUUUUUUUUUUAUUAUCACUGUGGGUGUCAUGCUUUAGACUUAAACAUUCUGUUCUCACAUUCAGGAGUUUUACUGUUACCAGCGCCAGGGUUAUAUAUUUUUUGAUUGCUUGUUUUCUGCAUGGUAUUGAUCAAUUGUCUUAAGUCAUCCACGUCCAUUAGCCCAUUUUUCUCAGAGAAGCUGCUAGGCUAAUGGUAUUACUUGUGACUGUGAAAGCCUUCAUGAAAAAUGAACUUUCCCACCCCAGUGUCAUAUCUUGGAACCUUUGUUUCAUAAGCUCCAACUAGGUGAGACAAUUGAUGUCUUUGGAAAAAAAGGUUAGAUUUUCUGGAGAAAAUAGCUCUUGAACUUGAGUCUUUGUUUCAUCAAAGGCAGCUGGGUGAAAUAGAGGGUUGCAUUUGGUACUGAAAAUUCAUACUUCAGAAAAUGAAAUGCCACUGUGAGAGGAUGCUGCAGGUGUGGAUUUGAAAGCUGAUGGAAGAAGACUGUGAACAGAAUUCUACCUUUUUGCCAACACUGUGACCAGCAUCCCAGGAUCCAUUUAUUGUGAACAGGUUCCUGGUAUGUUUGCCUGUUCUCCCCGUGAAUCACAGGCGGCCCCAAUGGAGUUCCACAGAGGUUGUCAGUGGCAGUUAGGAAAAGACUCUGAAGUAAAUAGGAAAGAAGAAAAGAUGGAAGACAUACAUGGUGGGGGAAAAAGGCCUGAGAGUCUUUCAAUGAAAAGAAUGGUAAGUAAACAUGAGUGGAAGGAAAA
ensembl:lncRNA